AUGCCUAUCUGUCAAAAGAUUCAGUGUCGAAAGACAGAGCCUUUGAAAGCCCCUUCUUCUUAUAGUCUGAGUCUUCCUUGGACCACCGCUUGCUCUCCUACCGGCCUUUCUCUCUUAGCUUUCCCCGCCUUUGGCAGUGAACGACUCCGAUCUGCAGAUAAGAAUAUGGAUAACCUUGAAAGGAGUCUUCUUAGCUUGAAAGAGGCCUUGAAGGAGUGA